AUACUUACCUGGCGCUGAGAGUUGUCGUGGUCCUGGUGGCGACGCCUCCAGGGCGAGGCCUUAUCAUUGCACUGGGAUGGGGUUGACCCCUGCCACUACUCCAAACUGGGGCAGAUGGAGCGUGUAAUUUUUGGUAGCUGGGGACUGCGUACGCGCUCUCCCCUU
rnacentral:snRNA from 1 species